AGAGGCCUAUGAUGAUUGUAAAAUUUGCCUACAUUGUCUGAUAUUUCUUGUUUAUGAAUGGAAUUUAUGUAACAGUUCUGAGGCCUCU
rnacentral:snoRNA from 1 species